UACGUAGGGCGCAAGCGUUGUCCGGAAUUAUUGGGCGUAAAGAGCUCGUAGGCGGUUUGUCGCGUCUGCUGUGAAAACUCGGGGCUUAACCCCGGGCCUGCAGUGGGUACGGGCAGACUAGAGUGCGGUAGGGGAGACUGGAAUUCCUGGUGUAGCGGUGAAAUGCGCAGAUAUCAGGAGGAACACCGGUGGCGAAGGCGGGUCUCUGGGCCGUAACUGACGCUGAGGAGCGAAAAGCGUGGGGGAGCGAACAGG
rnacentral:rRNA from 1 species